GUUGUGGCUCAGUGGUAGAGUGCUUGCCUAGCAAGUGUGAGGCACUGGGUUCAAAUCUCAGCAGC
rnacentral:tRNA from 1 species